CUGCAACCAACUAACCUGACCAGGUUUCUUUCCUGUUAGGGGCCUGAUGUGCAACGGGAAAAUAGUAGCCUUCGUGGGAGCACAUGCAGCCCAUUGUUUAUUUGGGUUUCCCAAGGGACCUUGGAAACCGUU
ensembl:snoRNA SNORA70 Small nucleolar RNA SNORA70